GUCUACAGCCAUGCCACCCUGAACAAGCCUGAUCCCAUCUGAUCUCAGAAGCUAAGCAGGGUCGGGCCUGGUUAGUACUUGGAUGGGAGACCACCUAGGAAGACCAGGUGCUGUAGGCA
rnacentral:rRNA from 1 species